GGGAAAAUAUGUGGUGGAAACCACAAAUAGAGCAAACCUGGAAACUAUAGUUGGAGCGAAAAAUGGACGUCCGAGAUUCGUCCACGUCAUCACGAGUAUAAAUUUUACUCACAGAUUUACUCAUGAAUACUCAUGAUGACGUGCACGAAUUUCGGACGUUCAUUUUUCAAUCCAACGGUAGUUACCACGUUUCCACUACAUAUAUGGUUUUCACAACAUAUUUUUCCCAG
rnacentral:misc_RNA from 1 species